rnacentral:lncRNA from 11 species
CUCCCCUACCCCCGCGAAUUUGAAAAAGCAAUAAAACAAACAACAGUUCAAAUAAAUGAGGGAGCCAAUUCUGUCUGUGAGAUGGCUUGGCCCCCUAAAGCUAUUGAUUUCACAGCCUGGAACAGGUGAGUACAAGCAGCUGGGUGAGCGACAAUUCCAUUUGGACGCAAUCCCAGCUUUUCAUACGUUCCUCUUCUUCAGCUUUAGCUGUUGUUUCCCAGGUGCAAGAAACUGCGUCUCCCCCCAGUGCCAAAUCCCAUCAGACUUGUGGUUUGGGAGCCAUCAGGAAAGGAAAUCAAAGAACAUCUCUUGUCUAUCCACAUCCUUGCAUGGGAGGCAGAUGGAGUCGGCAGCAGGACUGCAAAAGUUUAGAAGGUCUUGGCUGAUGCAAGAUGCAUCUGACGGAGCUGAAGGGAAUCAUCUGAUGGAACUGAAAGAACAGGAUGCAGCUGCUUCACAAACCACUGUUUGAUCUGAAUAGAACACAAGAUCUAAAACCAAUAUUAGAAGAGGGCCUGCCCAGUGAUCGUGACAUUUAAGGAGAUCAUGGGCCAUAUGUACAAAACUAAUUAAAUGAUCCUAAAGUAUCUGAAAAAAAGCAUUUUCAGCUGUUGGUUACCCACUCCUAUGUCCAAUAUAGAAUACUCUUGGGUUCCCAAUGCACAUUUUCAGAGCUUUCUUUACUAGCAAAUGAUAUUGCAAGCAGGUUUCCUCCUGUUCUGUUUUCUAUGUAUAUGUAUACAAAUGAAGCAGUGUGUCAUUGCAGUUACAAGAGAAUGAAGAGCUUCUCAAAGUGCAUGCUUACUUAUGCUCAUAGUUGACUCGUUUUUUCCAAGUACACUUUCUGUAAAUCUGGGUGACAAUAAAUUCUACCAAACCAUUUUGUAACACUGA